GGCGAACGCUGGCGGCGCGCCUAACACAUGCAAGUCGAACGGAGCUGCGAGAAGCUUGCUUUUCUUAGCUUAGUGGCGAACGGGUGAGUAACGCGUGAGUAACCUGCCCUGGAGUGGGGGACAACAGUUGGAAACGACUGCUAAUACCGCAUAAGCCCACGAUCCGGCAUCGGAUUGAGGGAAAAGGAUUUAUUCGCUUCAGGAUGGACUCGCGUCCAAUUAGCUAGUUGGUGAGGUAACGGCCCACCAAGGCGACGAUUGGUAGCCGGACUGAGAGGUUGAACGGCCACAUUGGGACUGAGACACGGCCCAGACUCCUACGGGAGGCAGCAGUGGGGGAUAUUGCACAAUGGGGGAAACCCUGAUGCAGCGACGCCGCGUGGAGGAAGAAGGUUUUCGGAUUGUAAACUCCUGUCGUUAGGGACGAUAAUGACGGUACCUAACAAGAAAGCACCGGCUAACUACGUG
rnacentral:rRNA from 1 species